AGAGUUUGAUCCUGGCUCAGGACGAACGCUGGCGGCGCGCCUAACACAUGCAAGUCGAACGAGAGAGGGGGAGCUUGCUCCCUUGAUCGAGUGGCGAACGGGUGAGUAACGCGUGAGGAACCUGCCUCAAAGAGGGGGACAACAGUUGGAAACGACUGCUAAUACCGCAUAAGCCCACGGCUCGGCAUCGAGCAGAGGGAAAAGGAGUGAUCCGCUUUGAGAUGGCCUCGCGUCCGAUUAGCUAGUUGGUGAGGUAACGGCCCACCAAGGCAACGAUCGGUAGCCGGACUGAGAGGUUGAACGGCCACAUUGGGACUGAGACACGGCCCAGACUCCUACGGGAGGCAGCAGUGGGGAAUAUUGCACAAUGGGGGAAACCCUGAUGCAGCGACGCCGCGUGGAGGAAGAAGGUCUUCGGAUUGUAAACUCCUGUUGUUGAGGAAGAUAAUGACGGUACUCAACAAGGAAGUGACGGCUAACUACGUGCCAGCAGCCGCGGUAAAACGUAGGUCACAAGCGUUGUCCGGAAUUACUGGGUGUAAAGGGAGCGCAGGCGGGAGAACAAGUUGGAAGUGAAAUCCAUGGGCUCAACCCAUGAACUGCUUUCAAAACUGUUUUUCUUGAGUAGUGCAGAGGUAGGCGGAAUUCCCGGUGUAGCGGUGGAAUGCGUAGAUAUCGGGAGGAACACCAGUGGCGAAGGCGGCCUACUGGGCACCAACUGACGCUGAGGCUCGAAAGUGUGGGUAGCAAACAGGAUUAGAUACCCUGGUAGUCCACACCGUAAACGAUGAUUACUAGGUGUUGGAGGAUUGACCCCUUCAGUGCCGCAGUUAACACAAUAAGUAAUCCACCUGGGGAGUACGACCGCAAGGUUGAAACUCAAAGGAAUUGACGGGGGCCCGCACAAGCAGUGGAGUAUGUGGUUUAAUUCGACGCAACGCGAAGAACCUUACCAAGUCUUGACAUCCCUUGACGAUACUGGAAACAGUAUUUCUCUUCGGAGCAAGGAGACAGGUGGUGCAUGGUUGUCGUCAGCUCGUGUCGUGAGAUGUUGGGUUAAGUCCCGCAACGAGCGCAACCCUUAU
rnacentral:rRNA from 1 species